rnacentral:rRNA from 1 species
GAAUAUUGGACAAUGGGGGGAACCCUGAUCCAGCCAUGCCGCGUGUGUGAAGAAGGCCUUUUGGUUGUAAAGCACUUUAAGCGAGGAGGAGGCUUACCUGGUUAAUACCCGGGCUAAGUGGACGUUACUCGCAGAAUAAGCACCGGCUAACUCUGUGCCAGCAGCCGCGGUAAUACAGAGGGUGCAAGCGUUAAUCGGAUUUACUGGGAGUAAAGCGCGCGUAGGUGGCUAAUUAAGUCAAAUGUGAAAUCCCCGAGCUUAACUUGGGAAUUGCAUUCGAUACUGGUUAGCUAGAGUAUGGGAGAGGAUGGUAGAAUUCCAGGUGUAGCGGUGAAAUACGUAGAGAUCUGGAGGAAUACCGAUGGCGAAGGCAGCCAUCUGGCCUAAUACUGACACUGAGGUGCGAAAGCAUGGGGAGCAAACAG